UAAUACGGAGGGUGCAAGCGUUAUCCGGAUUUACUGGGUUUAAAGGGUGCGUAGGUGGAUUGGGAAGUCAGUGGUGAAAUACUACAGCGCAACUGUGGAACUGCCAUUGAUACUAUCAAUCUUGAAUACAGUGGAGGCAGGCGGAAUGUGUCAUGUAGCGGUGAAAUGCUUAGAUAUGACACAGAACACCUAUUGCGAAGGCAGCUUGCUACACUGUCAUUGACACUGAGGCACGAAAGCGUGGGGAUCAAACAGGAUUAGAUACCCUGGUAGUCCACGCCCUAAACGAUGUUCACUCGAUCUCGGCGAUACACAGUCGGGGUCUAUGCAAAAGCAUUAAGUGAACCACCUGGGGAGUACGAUCGCAAGAUUG
rnacentral:rRNA from 1 species